CGCCUGUUUUAACAAAAACAUUUCUUAUAGAAUAUAAUUAUAAGUAAAACCUGCUCAAUGAAAAUUUAAAUAGCCGCAGAAUAUUUACUGUGCUAAGGUAGCAUAAUCAUUUGUUUUUUAAUUAAAAACUAGAAUGAAAGGUUUAACAUUUUAAUUUCUUUCUUAAAAAUUUAUAUUUAAAUUAUACUAAAUAUAAAAAUAUAUUUAUUUUUAAAAAAGACGACAAGACCCUAUUGAACUUUACUUUUGUUAAGCUGGGGCAGCUAAUUAAUUAUAAUUUUAAUUUUACUUUUUAAAAAAUGACCCAAUAAAUUUGAUUAUUUGAUUAAGUUACCAUAGGGAUAACAGCGUAAUUUUUUUUUUAAGUUCUUAUUUAAAAUGAAGUUUGCGACCUCGAUGUUGAAUUAAUAUCCUAUAUUACGCAAUAGUAAUAAAUAGUAGGUCUGUUCGACCUUUAAUAUAUUACAUGAUCUGAGUUCANACCGGAG
rnacentral:rRNA from 1 species